AACGAAGAAAACGAAUUUGGAUCGAGGAAAAACGAAAGUAAUCGAAUAGUCGAUCGUGUCCGCUGAUAUCCGAGGUAAGUCUAUUAGCAAUUAAAAUUUAUUAUGUUAAUAUUUAUUCAUGUAUACUAAUUGUAUUUGGAGUUGAGCUAUAAUUAAAAGUAUAUUGAUUGAGUAAAUUUUUAAGUAUGGAUGAUAUUUAUAUAUAUAGAAUGUUCGAAUAUAAAAGUAUAAUCUUGUAUAGAUUUAUGGGUUGAAAUAAAGGUAAGAAAUGUAUAAGAGUAUAGUUGAUAUUCGAAUAAGCAUGUAUAUAUAUAUAUGUAUAUAUAUAUAAUGCUAGAAUAUAUAUAUAAAAGUUAUUGAAAUUAGUUAAAGUAUGAAUAUUGCAUAGGUAUAAAUUCUUGAUUUUAAUUAAAGAAUUGUAUAAUAUAUAUAUGUGUAUAAACUCAUGGAUUUAUUUGAAGUUAUGUAACCCACAAUUGUAAGAGAAGUUUUAAAUAGAUAUGUACAUGUGAAUUAUAAUUUAUAUAUAUAUGCUAUAUUUGAAUAAGCAUGCUUACAUAUAUGUAUAUGUUCUUAUAAUGAAUUUUAAGUAUGAGUGUUAUAUAUAUACAUAUGCAUAAAUUAAGUUCGAAUAUGUAUAUAUAUAUAUAUAAAUAUAAAUGUACAUCUAUUAUAUAUUUGAUGAGCUAAAAAUUUAAAAGUAUAUGUAUUGAAAUUAGGUAUGGAAUUAUAUAUUGAUAUACAUGGUUGAUUGUAUAUAUAUAUAUAUAGGUUUAAGAUUUGCAUUGAACUAAAAGUAUAAAUUUUAAAUGCUUGCAUGAUUCAAACAUGGACUACCAAUUUUCUUGAGAUAGAGUUGAGAUUGUGAAUUAUAUAUAAAUGUUAUGAAUGUAUGUUGUUAUUAAGAAAUAUACGAGAAAUCAUCCUUGUAUCUGUGAAAUUGAGAUUUUCAGGCUAAGCGCCUAGCAGGCUACGUGCCGGUGAUUUGAAUCGAGUUAUAAACCUAGCAGGCUACGUGCCGGUGAUUUGAAUCGGGUUAUAAACCUAGCAGGCUACGUGCCGGUGAUCUGAAUCAAGCUAUAAGUCUAGCAGUCUAUGUGCCGUUGAAUCUGUUUUAAUUAAGUGAUUGUAUACAUUGAAUAUAUAUAUGUAUAUGAUUUGGUUAUUUAUAUUGGAUUAAUAUAUGAACAUCUGUUGCUAUGUUUUUGAAGAGCAUUUAAAAGCUCGAAUCUUUGUGUCUGGUAAGUAUAUAUAUAUAUCUAUGCGUUCGACAUAUGUGAACUAAAGUAUAUAUACAUAUAUGUGUGCAUUCGGCAUGUGUGGCCGAUAAGUAUAUUUGGAAUAUAUAUAUGCAAUUAAUGAUGAUGUAUAUAACUUAAUUUUUUUUAUGUAUAUAAUGAUAAUACAAGUGAUCGUUAAUAUGUAUUUUGGAUAUGCUAUAAACUUAUUGAGUUUUAGAAGCUUACUUUGAUUGUUUUUGUUUAUUUGUUUAUAGAUUUUGGAGACGCGUUACGAGUUCGGGGAUCGUCAGCUUAGUCUAUCACACUAUCGACCGUUCUUGGUAUUUUGUAUAUUUUGAACUCGAACCUAUGGCAUGUAUAGUCUAGUUAAUAUGUUUAAAUUAUUUUUUUGAUAUGUAAAUAUGAG
rnacentral:lncRNA from 1 species